rnacentral:rRNA from 1 species
AGAGUUUGAUCCUGGCUCAGGAUGAACGCUAGCGACAGGCUUAACACAUGCAAGUCGAGGGGCAGCAUGAGGUAGCAAUACCUUGAUGGCGACCGGCGCACGGGUGAGUAACGCGUAUGCAACCUGCCCGAUACCGGGGUAUAGCCCAUGGAAACGUGGAUUAACACCCCAUAGUACUUUUAUCCUGCAUGGGAUGUGAGUUAAAUGUUCAAGGUAUCGGAUGGGCAUGCGUCCUAUUAGUUAGUUGGCGGGGUAACAGCCCACCAAGACGAUGAUAGGUAGGGGUUCUGAGAGGAAGGUCCCCCACAUUGGAACUGAGACACGGUCCAAACUCCUACGGGAGGCAGCAGUGAGGAAUAUUGGUCAAUGGACGAGAGUCUGAACCAGCCAAGUCGCGUGAGGGAAGACUGCCCUAUGGGUUGUAAACCUCUUUUAUAAGGGAAGAAUAAGUUCUACGUGUAGAAUGAUGCCUGUACCUUAUGAAUAAGCAUCGGCUAACUCCGUGCCAGCAGCCGCGGUAAUACGGAGGAUGCGAGCGUUAUCCGGAUUUAUUGGGUUUAAAGGGUGCGUAGGUGGUGAUUUAAGUCAGCGGUGAAAGUUUGUGGCUCAACCAUAAAAUUGCCGUUGAAACUGGGUUACUUGAGUGUGUUUGAGGUAGGCGGAAUGCGUGGUGUAGCGGUGAAAUGCAUAGAUAUCACGCAGAACUCCGAUUGCGAAGGCAGCUUACUAAACCAUAACUGACACUGAAGCACGAAAGCGUGGGGAUCAAACAGGAUUAGAUACCCUGGUAGUCCACGCAGUAAACGAUGAUCACUAGCUGUUUGCGAUACACUGUAAGCGGCACAGCGAAAGCGUUAAGUGAUCCACCUGGGGAGUACGCCGGCAACGGUGAAACUCAAAGGAAUUGACGGGGGCCCGCACAAGCGGAGGAACAUGUGGUUUAAUUCGAUGAUACGCGAGGAACCUUACCCGGGCUUGAAAGUUACUGACGAUUCUGGAAACAGGAUUUCCCUUCGGGGCAGGAAACUAGGUGCUGCAUGGUUGUCGUCAGCUCGUGCCGUGAGGUGUCGGGUUAAGUCCCAUAACGAGCGCAACCCUUACCGUUAGUUGCUAGCAUGUAAUGAUGAGCACUCUAACGGGACUGCCACCGUAAGGUGAGAGGAAGGCGGGGAUGACGUCAAAUCAGCACGGCCCUUACACCCAGGGCUACACACGUGUUACAAUGGCCGGUACAGAGGGCCGCUACCAGGUGACUGGAUGCCAAUCUCAAAAGCCGGUCGUAGUUCGGAUUGGAGUCUGUAACCCGACUCCAUGAAGUUGGAUUCGCUAGUAAUCGCGCAUCAGCCAUGGCGCGGUGAAUACGUUCCCGGGCC